rnacentral:rRNA from 1 species
GUGGGGAAUAUUGCGCAAUGGGGGAAACCCUGACGCAGCCACGCCGCGUGGGUGAUGAAGGCCUUCGGGUUGUAAAGCCCUGUCGGGAGGGACGAAAGCUUUUCAUUUGAAGAGACUGACGGUACCUCGCAAGAAAGCGCCGGCCAACUCCGUGCCAGCAGCCGCGGUAAUACGGAGGGCGCAAGCGUUGCUCGGAAUCACUGGGCGUAAAGCGCACGCAGGCGGUCAACCAAGUCGGGUGUGAAAUCCCUGGGCUCAACCCAGGACGUGCAUUCGAAACUGGUUAACUAGAGGUCGGGAGAGGGAAGUGGAAUUCCUGGUGUAGAGGUGAAAUUCGUAGAUAUCAGGAGGAACACCGGUGGCGAAGGCGGCUUCCUGGCCCGAUACUGACGCUCAUGUGCGAAAGCGUGGGGAGCAAACAGGAUUAGAUACCCGGGUAGUCC